UGGUCUCGCAGUUGGGAUGACUCUGUGCUUAAUAAACUUCGCUCAAAUGGAAAUAUUUGGGAUAAAAAUCUGUUCCAGCCGAAUGCAGUGAAUCCAAGCAUUUACCGGCGUAUCAAUGAUGACUUGUCUCAGUACCCAUCUCCUUACCACGUGACUAGAAGCAUGCUCCUGUCGCCUGGAGGUCUACAACAGUAUGAAUUCUACAGAGUCAAGUCUAACAUCUCUGAUGAAG